rnacentral:rRNA from 1 species
CCUACGGGGGGCAGCAGUGGGGAAUAUUGGGCAAUGGGCGCAAGCCUGACCCAGCCAUGCCACGUGAAGGAAGAAGGCUUUCGGGUUGUAAAAUUCUUUGACAGGGGAAGAGCAGAAGACGGUACCCUGAAAACAAGACACGGCUAACUACGGGCCAGCAGCCGCGGUAAUACGUAGGUGGCAAGCGUUGUCCGGAUUUACUGGGUGUAAAGGGCGUGUAGCCGGGAAGGCAAGUCAGAUGUGAAAUCUGGAGGCUCAACCUCCAAAUUGCAUUUGAAACUGUUUUUCUUGAGUACUGGAGAGGCAGACGGAAUUCCUUGUGUAGCGGUGAAAUGCGUAGAUAUAAGGAGGAACACCAGUGGCGAAGGCGGUCUGCUGGACAGCAACUGACGGUGAGGCGCGAAAGCGUGGGGAGCAAACAGGAUUAGAUACCCUUAUAGUC